rnacentral:misc_RNA from 1 species
CGUCUCACGGGUGCUGAGGACCUCGUCCUACGCACACAUCAAGGACGACCCCGCUUCGACGAGUGGCAGCAGCGCACUGUCAGAUACAAGAACACACGCAUGGUGAGCACACUCCUUGAACUCCUUCCUUCAUUGCGCGCGUUUUCCGCCGUCCCCGACCGCCUACGGAGGCAUAGACAAACACCUUUCUGCAUCGCUCAUGUGUGCAGCGUUUCCAUCUUUCCACGUGUCGCUCCCCCGCCGCACUUCGCUUCCCAUGGCGGGCAAACCGCGUAGCCUUGGUUCCUCGCCAGUGUCUGGGAGCGCUCCACCCGAGCACAGAGCCAGCGCAAUAACCGUCCGCACGCAUGCGGAUGAGCACCUUCCUCUUUGCGUGGUUCAGGCUUCCAACGCUCCGUCCUCGUCCGCGGGCGCCUCCUCGCCACCUCUCAAAGCGUUCCUCGUAAACCCCGCCUGCGCCGCCAGCGCGACUGCGAUCGUGCCGGAAAACGUUGCUGAGGCGCAGCGGCGCUGGCAUGCUGACAUGCAUGAGGUGGAGGCCUAUCUCAAUGCGCUGGACUCGGCCCGCGCAGACAGCGCGAAAGCGGGGCUCUACCACCGGGCUCAGCAGUGCAUGCAGCGCAUGGAAAAGAUCAUUCGCCUGCUCGCCAAGCGAAUCUCCAGAGAGGCGAACACCAUGGCAGAGCGCGCGCGGCAGGCGCUGACAGAGCAGCAGCGACUGCUGCAGCGGAACUUCCGCAAAAGCUGGAAGACGAAGAUGCUGGUGUACGAGGAGAAUGCCUCAGCGAUGUUAGCGGCUGCGGAGCAGCAUCACUACGCAGAGCGCGUGCGGGAGGAUGCGCGCGCGCACGAAGAGCUGCGCAGCGCGCGAGCGGGUGGUUCCGUGGCGCAUUCCUGGUCCUCAAAGGUGCAGCACCUGCAAAGUGAACUCCAGCUGUACCUGAGGCAGCAUCGCUAUCGUGAAGCGGAGCGGGUGCAGGCACAGCUAAGCCGAUUUGAGAAGCAAGAGCAACAGGCGCAGCAGAGGAACAUCACCCAUCUUCAGGAGCAGCGGCUGCAAGCCAUGCGAGUGAAACAGGAAGAGCAGCUGGCCAAAAUCAAGGCGGCGCAUCAACAAGAAAAGCAAGAGAUAGCCCGCACUUGCCGCGCAGAGCUGGAUGCGAUGACUCGCCAACACGAGGCUGCCCUACAAGCGGUGGAGGAACGACGCCUAUUUCUCCACGAAAGGGUUCAGGCGAUCUUGAAGGCGUACAACGACGCCGACGCGCUGGACCCGCGGGCAACAGGGCUAAAACUGAUACGGAUUUCGCAGCUACUGUGGACAUCUCGCGAGGUGCAGCAGCCGAGUGAGCAUAUUUGACGAAGCGUUGUGCCAUGCAUAAUCGAGUAGCAGAAGAAAGAGACGUGUGCCACUCAUGGUAUUCGUGACAGAGGUGGGUGGAAGGCAGACGUAGGGAUGCGCUUUGCACGGCUGCAUGAUGCUGUCCAACUUCUCCGCCGGGGAACGUUCACUCUCCGCAGUGCCUACUUACCACCCUAACCCCCUUUUUGCGCACUUCGCUCACCUCGCCGGCGAAUCUCUUUUUCCUCCGCCUCUGUCUUUUGUCCGUCUGCGAUGUAGUCCGCUGCUUAUCUCUGCCUGCACAUUGUCCCUCCCCUACCGCCAGUGUCUUCUCCGCCUUGGGUCUUGCGCACCCCCUCUCAGCACCCUUUAAGUUCCUUCUUCUCUCCGCCUCUUUGCUCCUCUCUUCUGCUUGCGUUUUCUCUCUUUUUCGUUUUCGGCCACUACACGUGAAGUUAGACCGCUGCGGCAGGACCCACUCGGGGCUGCCGGCUCUCGGAGGGGUGGGCUGAUGGUGCGCUGUGGGCACGCGAACAUACUCCAAAAAGGCAC